GAGAUUUUCGCAAUGCCCGAAAGGGUGACGAAGCGACGCCGCGUGCGGGAAGAAGGCCUUCGGGUUGUAAACCGCUGUCGGGAGUUAAGAAAUGUAAGGAUGUUAAUAGCAUCUUUGCUUGACUAAGGUUCCGGAGGAAGCCACGGCUAACUCUGUGCCAGCAGCCGCGGUAAUACAGAGGCGGCAAGCGUUGUUCGGAAUUAUUGGGCGUAAAGAGCACGUAGGCGGCUAUGUAAGUCGGUUGUGAAAGCCUUCCGCUCAACGGGAGAACAGCAUCCGAUACUGCAUGGCUUGAGUGCGGGAGGGGAGAGUGGAACUUCUGGUGGAGCGGUGAAAUGCGUAGAUAUCAGAAGGAACGCCGGCGGCGAAAGCGGCUCUCUGGCCCAUAACUGACGCUGAGUGUGCGAAAGCUAGGGGAGCAAACGGGAUUAGAUACCCCGGUAGUCCUAGCCGUAAACGAUGGGCACUAAGUAGAGGGGUUUUA
rnacentral:rRNA from 1 species